rnacentral:rRNA from 1 species
GACAGAGGGUGCAAACGUUGUUCGGAAUUACUGGGCGUAAAGCGCGUGUAGGCGGUCUGAUAAGUCAGGUGUGAAAGCCCUGGGCUCAACCCAGGAAGUGCACUUGAAACUGCCAGGCUAGAGUACUGGAGAGGUUGGUGGAAUUCUCGGUGUAGAGGUGAAAUUCGUAGAUAUCGAGAGGAACACCGGUGGCGAAGGCGGCCAACUGGACAGAUACUGACGCUGAGACUCGAAAGCGUGGGGAGCAAACAGG